GUGUCAGCCGCCGCGGUAAUACGUAGGCAGCAAACGUUGUUCGGAAUUACUGGGCGUAAAGAGUGUGUAGGCGGUUCUGUAAGUUCUGUGUGAAAUCUCCCGGCUUAACUGGGAGGGUGCGCCGAAAACUGCAGGGCUUGAGUACUGGAGAGGAUAGCGGAAUUCCUGGUGUAGCGGUGAAAUGCGUAGAUAUCAGGAGGAACACCGGCGGUGUAGACGGCUGUCUGGACAGUAACUGACGCUGAGACACGAAAGCGUGGGGAGCAAACAGGAUUAGAUACCCUGGUAGUCCACGCCCUAAACGAUGCAUACUUGGUGUGGGUGAUUCAUUUUAUCCGUGCCGGAGCUAACGCGUUAAGUAUGCCGCCUGGGGAGUACGGUCGCAAGGCUGAA
rnacentral:rRNA from 1 species